CAAAGAAUAGUUUUUUUAAAAAUAAUAAUUUUGGAGAUUAUAGAUAAAGAUAAUCUUUUUCUUUGA
rnacentral:tRNA from 4 species